rnacentral:rRNA from 1 species
GCGAACUCCGUGUCAGCAGCGGGGGGAAUAGGGGGGGUCAGAGCGUUAAGCGGAAUUACGUGGCGUAAAGCGGGUGCAGGCGGUGUGUGAAGCGAGAUGUGAAAGCCCUGGGCUCAACCUAGGAAUAGCAUUUCGAACUGGCGAACUAGAGUCUUGUAGAGGGGGGUAGAAUUCGAGGUGUAGCGGUGAAAUGCGGAGAGAUCUGGAGGAAUACCGGUGGCGAAGGCGGCCCCCUGGACAAAGACUGACGCUCAUGCACGAAAGCGUGGGGAGCAAACAGGAUUAGAUACCCGGGUAGUC